AAUACCACAUUAGUUCAUGUUUCACUGCUUUUCUGAGCCGUGUGGUAAAUUGAACACUGCGUUCAAUAUUCAAGAGAUUUGUUUGUCUUGAUGCUACUCCAAAAUAAAAUAAGGACGUGACAGAAGUCCUUUCAAUGUGCUGAUAUGUGAAUGUGCUGCCAAAAAGUUAAAUAUUUUUUUUGUAUUGACUAUCGAUGUGUUGAGCUUCACCAGUAGAUUUAUAGGGAAUCUGUGGUUCAGUAAAGUGACAAGUGAAUUCAGACUUUGUUCCAGUGGAGAAAUUAUUCUAACGUUCUUUACUUUUAAUUGUACCGCAAUGCAUUUUUUAAGUGUAUUGUAUAUCUUUUUUGUGUUGUAGUUGAAGCACAGUUUCAGUCUCCAAGGUCUUUAAUUAUUCAUCUGUCGUCUGCUGUACACAUCUGUACUGUAGUGAGGGCAGUGUGGUUAUGUUGUGGGGUUCAUAUUGAUGGUCUUUGACGUCCGUAAUGCUUUAGUGUGACGCAGUCACAUGAUCUUCUCUCUCAAUAAACAGCUAAAGUUUAAAAGGCAAUUGAAGUGAUGGAUGAGUUGUGUUUGUGUCCAGGUCUCCAGUCUACUAUGGAUGAGAAGAUAGAGGAGAGGGGCCCUACCUCUAAGAACGCUCUGUCUGGGGAACAUGGCCGCCGGAGCAAAGCUAAGAGGUAAGAAGAAGAUCUCUCUGUCUGUGACUGUUGUCCAUCUCAGAGCUCAGCAGUGAUGCAUCAUGACUCCAUCAUUAGUCUGAGUAAAAGCUGUUUGUGUGUUUGUGUGUGUGUUGAAGCCCAGAGAAGCAGCAGAGAGCAGACUCCCCUGGACCCAGCUGUGUUUCCAUGAAGAGUGACCGCUCUAUGGAUAUACCAUGGGGCUUUAAAGAUGGACAUCCCUCCAGAGAGGAGAGGUAAGAGUUUCAAACAGACGUUGAAAACAGACCAGUUGGUUGUUAUCAGACUCUACUGAUCUACUGUCUAUAAGUCUGGGGAAAUAUCUUGUGUGUGUGUGUGUGUGUGUACGUGUGUGUGUGUGUGUGUGUGUGUGUGUGUGUGUGUGUGUGUGUGUGUGUGUGUGUGUGUGUGUGUGUGUGUGUGUGUUCCCCACAGACACCAGAAGAGGUCAAAGGUUACCAGUUACCAGGUUACUCAGUCUGUACAGCAGCAUCAAACAGAGCUGAUCAAGAGGGCUGAGGAGAAUGCACACGCUUUCCUAGACAAGGAGCUGAAGAAGCUCUGGAGGGAUCUCUUCUCAGAUUACCCACAACGCUCAGAGGGUCAGAGAGUGGAGGAGAAGGAGGUGGAUGGUAAGAAGGAGGAGCAGAGGAGGCGCGCCAUGCAGGGAGUGGUGGACAUCACAAAGCUCUGCCUGAUGGAGAUGAACCAGGAGGAACUGGCCGACACACUGUUGAGUGGUAAGAGACUCUUAUCUUGAAAACAGAGAAGAAAUACACAUUUUGAAGAGCAGUAGGAGAUUAUUAUUGGUUCUGUUCAGAAAAAUUUACAUAAUGUGAGAUUUAUUUAUUUAAAACUUCCAUGUGGAGACAAUCUUUCCUCUUUGGGGUUAAAUGGUUUGACCCAGUAUGUAGGGUUGUUGUGGGGUAUCAGGUUAAAUGGUUUGAUCCGGAUAUGUAGGGUAAUAGUGGGGGUCUCAGGUUAAAGAAUGUUAAACAUCAUCAUUACCAGCACUAAAUCCCCCGACCACAUCACCUCCAUUCUCGUCCAACUACACUGGCUCCCUGUCCAACACCGGAUUGACCUUAAAACCCUUC
rnacentral:lncRNA from 1 species